rnacentral:misc_RNA from 1 species
GGCCUCGUUCCUCCAUCGCUCUAGAGUCAGGCCGUUUUCAAUUCCUUCGCCAUGUCCGACUACGCCAGCAUACAGGCGUUGCACAAGUCCACCCCCGCAUUCUCGCCCGCCAUCCCGACUGCGCUCCUUCCCUACCUGGCAUUCUUCCUCCUCUCUGCCACUUUCGCCCUCGCUUUCUACUUCUCCACUCUGCCGAAAGAGAAGAUUCCCGCGCG